GCAAACUUGGUCAUUUAGAGGAAGUAAAAGUCGUAACAAGGUCUCCGUUGGUGAACCAGCGGAGGGAUCAUUACCGAGUUUACAACUCCCAAACCCAAUGUGAACGUUACCAAACUGUUGCCUCGGCGGGAUCUUCUGCCCCGGGUGCGUCGCAGCCCCGGACCAAGGCGCCCGCCGGAGGACCAACCCCAAAACUCUUUUUUGUAUACCCCCUCGCGGGUUUUUUUUAUAUAUCUGAGCCAUCUCGGCGCCUCUCGUAGGCGUUUCGAAAAUGAAUCAAAACUUUCAACAACGGAUCUCUUGGUUCUGGCAUCGAUGAAGAACGCAGC
rnacentral:misc_RNA from 1 species